rnacentral:rRNA from 1 species
UACAGGGGGUGCAAACGUUGCUCGGAAUCAUUGGGCGUAAAGCGCACGUAGGCGGUUCGUUAUGUCGGAUGUGAAAGCCCUUGGCUUAACCGAGGAAGUGCAUCCGAAACUGGCGAGCUAGAGUACUAAAGAGGAUCGCGGAAUUCCCGGUGUAGAGGUGAAAUUCGUAGAUAUCGGGAGGAACACCGGUGGCGAAGGCGGCGAUCUGGGCAGAUACUGACGCUGAGGUGCGAAAGCGUGGGGAGCAAACAGG